rnacentral:rRNA from 1 species
CCUACGGGAGGCAGCAGUGGGGGAUAUUGCACAAUGGGGGGAACCCUGAUGCAGCGACGCCGCGUGGGUGAAGAAGCGCCUCGGCGCGUAAAGCCCUGUCAGCAGGGAAGAAAAUGACGGUACCUGAAGAAGAAGCCCCGGCUAACUCUGUGCCAGCAGCCGCGGUAAUACGGAGGGUGCGAGCGUUAAUCGGAAUUACUGGGCGUAAAGCGCUCGUAGGCGGUAUGUCAAGUCAAGGGUGAAAUCCCCGCGCUCAACGUGGGAACUGCCUUUGAAACUGGCAGCCUUGAGUACAGUUGAGGUAGGCGGAAUUCGUGGUGUAGCGGUGAAAUGCUUAGAUAUCACGAAGAACUCCGAUUGCGAAGGCAGCUUACUAAACUGUCACUGACAUUGAUGCUCGAAAGUGUGGGUAUCAAACAGGAUUAGAUACCCCUGUAGUC